rnacentral:rRNA from 1 species
AGCGAACGCUGGCGGCAGGCCUAACACAUGCAAGUCGAACGAACCUUUCGGGGUUAGUGGCGGACGGGUGUGUAACACGUGGGAACGUGCCUUUAGGUUCGGAAUAACUCAGGGAAACUUGUGCUAAUACCGAAUGUGCCCUUCGGGGGAAAGAUCUAUCGCCUUUAGAGCGGCCCGCGUCUGAUUAGCUAGUUGGUUGAGGUAAUGGCUCACCAAGGCGACGAUCAGUAGCUGGUCUGAGAGGAUGUUCAGCCACAUUGGGACUGAGACACGGCCCAAACUCCUACGGGAGGCAGCAGUGGGGAAUCUUGCGCAAUGGGCGAAAGCCUGACGCAGCCAUGCCGCGUGAAUGAUGAAGGUCUUAGGAUUGUAAAAUUCUUUCACCGGGGACGAUAAUGACGGUACCCGGAGAAGAAGCCCCGGCUAACUUCGUG